rnacentral:rRNA from 1 species
UACGAAGGGGGCUAGCGUUGCUCGGAAUCACUGGGCGUAAAGCGCACGUAGGCGGAUUGCUAAGUCAGGGGUGAAAUCCUGGAGCUCAACUCCAGAACUGCCUUCGAUACUGGAGAGCUUGAGUCCGGGAGAGGUGAGUGGAACUGCGAGUGUAGAGGUGAAAUUCGUAGAUAUUCGCAAGAACACCAGUGGCGAAGGCGGCUCACUGGCCCGAUACUGACGCUGAGGCACGAAAGCGUGGGGAGCAAACAGG